rnacentral:rRNA from 1 species
AACGAACGCUGGCGGCGCGCCUAAUACAUGCAAGUCGAACGAGAAGGUGUAGCAAUACACUUGUACAGUGGCGAACGGGUGAGGAAUGCAUGGGCAACCUACCCUCGAGUGGGGAACAACCAGCCGAAAGGUUGGCUAAUACCGCGUACGCUUCCGGGUCUCCGGAUCCGGAAGGAAAGUCACACCGUGGGUGUGACGCUCAAGGAUGGGCUCAUGUCCUAUCAGCNGUUGGUGAGGUAACGGCUCACCAAGGCAACGACGGGUAGCUGGUCUGAGAGGACGAUCAGCCACACUGGCACUGCGACACGGGGCCAGACUCCUACGGGAGGCAGCAGUAAGGAAUAUUGCGCAAUGGGCGAAAGCCUGACGCAGCGACGCCGCGUGGGGGAUGAAGGUCUUCGGAUUGUAAACCCCUUUUAGGAGGGAAAUGGGACGAGCAAUCGUUCGGACGGUACCUCCAGAAGCAGCCACGGCUAACUUCGUGCCAGCCGCCGCU